GAUGAACGCUGGCGGCGUGCCUAAUACAUGCAAGUCGAGCGAACGGACGAGAAGCUUGCUUCUCUGAUGUUAGCGGCGGACGGGUGAGUAACACGUGGAUAACCUACCUAUAAGACUGGGAUAACUUCGGGAAACCGGAGCUAAUACCGGAUAAUAUUUUGAACCGCAUGGUUCAAAAGUGAAAGACGGUCUUGCUGUCACUUAUAGAUGGAUCCGCGCUGCAUUAGCUAGUUGGUAAGGUAACGGCUUACCAAGGCAACGAUGCAUAGCCGACCUGAGAGGGUGAUCGGCCACACUGGAACUGAGACACGGUCCAGACUCCUACGGGAGGCAGCAGUAGGGAAUCUUCCGCAAUGGGCGAAAGCCUGACGGAGCAACGCCGCGUGAGUGAUGAAGGUCUUCGGAUCGUAAAACUCUGUUAUUAGGGAAGAACAUAUGUGUAAGUAACUGUGCACAUCUUGACGGUACCUAAUCAGAAAGCCACGGCUAACUACGUGCCAGCAGCCGCGGUAAUACGUAGGUGGCAAGCGUUAUCCGGAAUUAUUGGGCGUAAAGCGCGCGUAGGCGGUUUUUUAAGUCUGAUGUGAAAGCCCACGGCUCAACCGUGGAGGGUCAUUGGAAACUGGAAAACUUGAGUGCAGAAGAGGAAAGUGGAAUUCCAUGUGUAGCGGUGAAAUGCGCAGAGAUAUGGAGGAACACCAGUGGCGAAGGCGACUUUCUGGUCUGUAACUGACGCUGAUGUGCGAAAGCGUGGGGAUCGAACAGGAUUAGAUACCCUGGUAGUCCACGCCGUAAACGAUGAGUGCUAAGUGUUAGGGGGUUUCCGCCCCUUAGUGCUGCAGCUAACGCAUUAAGCACUCCGCCUGGGGAGUACGACCGCAAGGUUGAAACUCAAAGGAAUUGACGGGGACCCGCACAAGCGGUGGAGCAUGUGGUUUAAUUCGAAGCAACGCGAAGAACCUUACCAAAUCUUGACAUCCUUUGACAACUCUAGAGAUAGAGCCUUCCCCUUCGGGGGACAAAGUGACAGGUGGUGCAUGGUUGUCGUCAGCUCGUGUCGUGAGAUGUUGGGUUAAGUCCCGCAACGAGCGCAACCCUUAAGCUUAGUUGCCAUCAUUAAGUUGGGCACUCUAAGUUGACUGCCGGUGACAAACCGGAGGAAGGUGGGGAUGACGUCAAAUCAUCAUGCCCCUUAUGAUUUGGGCUACACACGUGCUACAAUGGACAAUACAAAGGGCAGCGAAACCGCGAGGUCAAGCAAAUCCCAUAAAGUUGUUCUCAGUUCGGAUUGUAGUCUGCAACUCGACUACAUGAAGCUGGAAUCGCUAGUAAUCGUAGAUCAGCAUGCUACGGUGAAUACGUUCCCGGGUCU
rnacentral:rRNA from 1 species